rnacentral:rRNA from 1 species
CCUACGGGAGGCAGCAGUAGGGAAUAUUGCUCAAUGGGGGAUACCCUGAAGCAGCAACGUCGCGUGGAGGAUGACGGUUUUCGGAUUUGAAACUCCUUUUGUUAGAGAAGUUAAUGACGGUAUCUAACGAAUAAGCACCGGCUAACUCCGUGCCAGCAGCCGCGGUAAUACGGAGGGUGCAAGCGUUACUCGGAAUUACUGGGCGUAAAGAGCGCGUAGGCGGGUUAGUAAGUCAGAUGUGAAAUCCUAUGGCUUAACCAUAAAAUUGCAUUUGAAACUGUUAUCCUAGAGUACGGGAGAGGUAGGCGGAAUUCUUGGUGUAGGGGUAAAAUGCUUAGAGAUCAAGAAGAA